GAUUCAUACUUUACUUUCAGAUAUUAAUAAUUCAGCUGUGGAAAUGUAUGCUGAAGGAAAUAUACUCCAAUGCAUGUGUUUCACUCUCAAUUUGCUUUUAAAGUGGAAACUUAUGUUUGGUAACCAAAGUUAGUGGUAAGAUUGGAUUAUAUUAAUAUUUAAAGUGUAAGACUACUUUACACAAAGUCUAAUUAUCCAUUUAUGUAGACAAUUGAUAUUACAAACUGAUCAAUGUAAUAAGUCUUGAAAUCAGUCCCAUGUGAUCAAUUGUUAAGUUUUGUGUAAUGAUGGUCCUGUGAUGCUCUUCGGGAAUAGACCACUUAACUAAUCGUAUUGGUGAAAUUGGUCAUCUCUAUGCAUUGUCACACUGCUCUAAACAUUUAUGGCCUUUUGGAAAAGAGGGCACUUUACAGGCUCCAACAAUCCUCCUAUACUAUCCACUUCAGUAUUGGUUUGUUUCUAUGCAGGAUCGGCUUUGAAGAUCUGCUAUAAACAUAGCCUGCUCCCAGAGAGGACCUUGUUUUGUUUUGGGGGAACAGAGAAGUGCCAUUACGCUGGUUCGACCGAAUUUAUGCGCUGUGCCACUUUGAGAUGUUUACGAGAGCGUCGCCAAUUGAUUUCCUAAUGCACAAUCAUGCCUGAUGCCAUUUCUCUUGGAUGUGUAUGAAGCAGUGUUUUAUUAGAGGCCAAAGACAAUCCCUCGGCAGCUCAAAAUUGUUUUGUCAAUUUUUGUGGCAAAAAGAUGUUCUCUUGCAGAAAAGUAUGGGCAAUAUCAUCAGUUUUCAUCAGAGCAGCAGAAUGUUAAAUUGUAUUCUUUAAAUGCCAAAGUGAUUUUGCUCUAGGCUUCAGUCAGAGAUGUAUUGAAUUCUAUCCACAACAGAUAAUUUGCUGAACGUUUCUCCAAAGUUCCUAAAGCAUGUUCCAGUUCUCAUUUGUUUUUUUGAUAUUUUGCUAUCUUUGUAAAUCAAAUAGUAUUUGAGCUGGGGGUAUAUGUGUGUGUGUGUUGAAAUAGAGAGAGGGUGGGGUGAUAUCUACAUGUAUCUGUAAAACAUGUUUCCUUUGUAAUGUAUGAUAAAUAGAAUAAACAUUUCUUUGUAUUGCCUUGGACAUUGCUGAAGCACUUUACAGAUUAUUAUUUCCAAUUUGUCAGGUCCCAACAUGGAAAAUUGGAUUGAAACCGCUGACUGCGUAAUGCGAAUCAUUCAUGAAAAGUACCGACAAAAGUAGAUUGAAAAAUCUUUUGAGUGGUGGUUGCCAUGGUUAUUGGAAAGUGAGAAAAUAUAUUCUUGAAAUCCUUGUUGUAACCAAUACGUAGGUAGAUGUCUCAUAGCCUCAGGGUUUUCCUUGGUGUUGCUUUUGAUCCUGCUGAUAUUGCUUAAUGAUGCUCUAGCACAUGGGAUGGUAGUCUUUGGCUCUUCAUGGAACUGUAGUCAUGUCUGCCCAUUUUCUGAACAGCAUCUCAUUGGAAGAUAGAGAAUACAAGUUGGAGUACAAGUUAUUGGAAAUGCAGUUUUAGAAUUUACUUCUCCGUUUUGAAGAGAUUUUCUGAGGAUGUGUUGCACCUCAUAGCUUUUUACAAUGUGUAAAGCAAAAACAUUAAAUGUAAUUUCAGUAGUUUUUUCAUUGCCCUAACCAGACUUUAGGGGAUACCUUGAUGAUGUGAUGAGGCAGAGUCUGUGAGAGGAUCAACAAUACUGAUCGGGGAAAAAAAAACUCCAGAACUUGUACUAAAAAGGACAUUCAACUUCUGGUUUUAAUUAUUUAAUGAAGAUCCUUUAUUUGAUAAACGAAUCAGAGUGACAUCUUCUCUGGAGAGAACUCUUCUUGAUAGCAUCAGAUAAGCAUUGACAAACCACUAGAGAAUGGAGUUUAAUCAUUGUGAAAAUAUGCAUAAGUGGUAAAGAAGCCCCAAAGCGGACAACGCCUGCAGAAUCUAUCCAUCUUUUUGGCUACCUUCUACAUGGUGGAUACCCACCAUGUAUUAGGAGAACCAUGCAUGGAAAUGGGAAUUCGCCACCUCAUGACCUCACCACCUUCAUCUGGGACAAGGUGUGCCAUUGUAGUUCAGUGGCCUUCAAUUUUGGGGCGGACGGAUCCUUCGCGCCCAAGCACGAUGCUCUCCACCUGCACCACUCCUUGAUACGGGAGGACCUCUUCCGAUUUGGAGUGGCCCUUGCACCGACGAUCUUUGGGACUCUCGCUAAGGAUAAACCCAAGCAAGAUGGUAGCCCAAAGGUAAGGAA
rnacentral:misc_RNA from 1 species